GAGUCAGAGUGGAAGGAACUCAAACGGUGAAGACGCAGAGCGCGGGUGAGCAAUAACUCUCUCUGAAUGGGAAAUUAUCUCCUUUAAUAUAAUAAUUAACCAACUACGGGCAAAUCUUCAAAAUCACAACCAUGAAUGCUGUAAAUGCUGUGCAACUGUUCAUUCUGGUUUGGACCUUUACUGCUGUCUGUCAAGCUGAUGAUGAUUUCAUUGUAAGCUGUGAUGAUGUGACUGGAUCUGUGGGGAAAGAAGUAAAUCUCACCUGCAGCGUCUCUCUGCUGCUCACUGAAUGCAUUAAAAUUUAUAA